UACGGGGGGAGCAAGCGUUGUUCGGAUUUACUGGGCGUAAAGGGCGCGUAGGCGGCGUGACAAGUCACUUGUGAAAUCUCCGGGCUUAACUCGGAACGGUCAAGUGAUACUGUCGUGCUAGAGUACAGAAGGGGCAACUGGAAUUCUCGGUGUAGCGGUGAAAUGCGUAGAUAUCGAGAGGAACACCUGAGGUGAAGACGGGUUGCUGGGCCGACACUGACGCUGAUGCGCGAAAGCCAGGGGAGCAAACGGG
rnacentral:rRNA from 1 species